CCUACGGGAGGCAGCAGUGAGGAAUAUUGGUCAAUGGCCGGAAGGCUGAACCAGCCAUGCCGCGUGAAGGUCAGUGCCCUAUGGGCGUUAAACUUCUUUUGUGCGGGAGCAAUAAUGUUCAGUUGUGGCCAGUCGAGAUUAACGUACGAAUCAGCAUCGGCUAACCCCGUGUCCGCAGCCGCGGUAAUACGGGGGAGUCAGGCGUUAUCCGGAAUUAUUGGGUUUAAAGGGUACGGAGGCGGGGGGGUAAGGCAGGUGUGAAAUGCCCCCGGUCAACGGGGUGAAGUGCCAUUGAUACUGGCUUGCUUGAAUGCGGAAGACGUGGGAGGAAUGUGUGGUGUAGCGGUGAAAUGCAUAGAUAUCACGCAGAACACCGAUUGCGAAGGCAGCUCACGGAUCCGCGAUUGACGCUGAUGCACGAAAGCGUGGGUAUCAAACAGGAUUAGAUACCCGUGUAGUC
rnacentral:rRNA from 1 species